rnacentral:rRNA from 1 species
GACGAACGCUGGCGGCGUGCUUAACACAUGCAAGUCGAGCGGCGCGGCGAACGGGUGAGUAACGCGUGAGUAACUGCCCCCCUCUCUGGGAUAACAGUUGGAAACGGCUGCUAAUACCGGAUAGUGGGGGAUGACUCGCGUCCUAUCAGCUUGUGGGUGGGGUAGGCGCCUACGAAGGCGACGACGGGUAGCCGGCCUGAGCGGGCGACCGGCCACAUUGGGCUAAGGGACGGCCCAAACUCCUACGGGAGGCAGCAGUGGGGAAUAUUGCACAAUGGGGGAAAGCCUGAGGCAGCGACGCCGGGUGCGUAAUGACGGCCUUCUGGUUAUAAACCGCGUUCAGCCAUGACGCGGUAGUGGCAGAAGAAGCACCGGCUAACUACGUGCCAGCAGCCGCGGUAAUUC